AACCUGCUGAACAAGAAAUGUUUGUGACGCAACCCACAAGGGCAUGUGGUGGCAGGAGGUGUGGCUGGCUCCUCCAGCAGCAGACGAGGCACACCCAUCUCCACUCAGCUCAUCAACCUACAUAUAUGAAAGUUGUUUAGGAGGUGAUCUACGUUGAUGUCAUCGUAGCUCUCCUGGAAGGUG